UACGUAGGGGGCAAGCGUUGUCCGGAAUCAUUGGGCGUAAAGAGCGCGUAGGCGGCCCGGUAAGUCCGCUGUGAAAGUCAAGGGCUCAACCCUUGAAUGCCGGUGGAUACUGUCGGGCUAGAGUCCGGAAGAGGCGAGUGGAAUUCCUGGUGUAGCGGUGAAAUGCGCAGAUAUCAGGAGGAACACCGGUGGUGUAGACGGCUCACUGGACCGUAACUGACGCUGAGACACGAAAGCGUGGGGAGCAAACAGG
rnacentral:rRNA from 1 species